rnacentral:rRNA from 1 species
UACAGAGGGUGCAAGCGUUAAUCGGAAUUACUGGGCGUAAAGCGUGCGCAGGCGGUUUUGUAAGCCAGAUGUGAAAUCCCCGGGCUUAACCUGGGAAUGGCAUUUGGGACUGCAAGGCUGGAGUGUGGCAGAGGAGACUGGAAUUCCCGGUGUAGCAGUGAAAUGCGUAGAUAUCGGGAGGAAUACCGAUGGCGAAGGCAGGUCUCUGGGCUGACACUGACGCUCAUGCACGAAAGCGUGGGGAGCAAACAGG